rnacentral:rRNA from 1 species
GUGGGGAAUAUUGGACAAUGGGCGAAAGCCUGAUCCAGCCAUGCCGCGUGUGUGAAGAAGGUCUUCGGAUUGUAAAGCACUUUAAGUUGGGAGGAAGGGUAGUAACCUAAUACGUUGCUACUUUGACGUUACCGACAGAAUAAGCACCGGCUAACUUCGUGCCAGCAGCCGCGGUAAUACGAAGGGUGCAAGCGUUAAUCGGAAUUACUGGGCGUAACGCGCGCGUAGGUGGUUCAGUAAGUUGGAAGUGAAAUCCCCGGGCUCAACCUGGGAACUUCUUUCAAAACUGCUGAGCUAGAGUGAGGUAGAGGGUGGUGGAAUUUCCUGUGUAGCGGUGAAAUGCGUAGAUAUAGGAAGGAACACCAGUGGCGAAGGCGACCACCUGGACUGAUACUGACACUGAGGUGCGAAAGCGUGGGGAGCAAACAGGAUUAGAUACCCCAGUAGUCC